UCGCNUCUGUCGUGAAAUCCUCUGGCUUAACUGGGGGCUUGCGGUGGGUACGGGCCGGCUUGAGUGCGGUAGGGGAGGCUGGAACUCCUGGUGUAGCGGUGGAAUGCGCAGAUAUCAGGAAGAACACCGGUGGCGAAGGCGGGUCUCUGGGCCGUUACUGACGCUGAGGAGCGAAAGCGUGGGGAGCGAACAGGAUUAGAUACCCUGGUAGUCCACGCCGUAAACGUUGGGCACUAGGUGUGGGGGGCCUUUUCCGGGUUUUCCGCGCCGUAGCUAACGCAUUAAGUGCCCCGCCUGGGGAGUACGGCCGCAAGGCUAAAACUCAAAGGAAUUGACGGGGGCCCGCACAAGCGGCGGAGCAUGCGGAUUAAUUCGAUGCAACGCGAAGAACCUUACCAAGGCUUGACAUGUGCCGGUCGGCUCCGGAGACGGGGUUUCCUCCUUGUGGGGCCGGUUCACAGGUGGUGCAUGAUUGUCGUCAGCUCGUGUCGUGAGAUGUUGGGUUAAGUCCCGCAACGAGCGCAACCCUUGUCUCGUGUUGCCAGCACGUUGUGGUGGGGACUCGCGGGAGACUGCCGGGGUCAACUCGGAGGAAGGUGGGGAUGACGUCAAAUCAUCAUGCCCCUUAUGUCUUGGGCUUCACGCAUGCUACAAUGGCCGGUACAGAGGGCUGCGAUACUGUGAGGUGGAGCGAAUCCCUUAAAGCCGGUCUCAGUUCGGAUCGGUGUCUGCAACUCGACACCGUGAAGUUGGAGUCGCUAGUAAUCGCAGAUCAGCAACGCUGCGGUGAAUACGUUCUCGGGCCUUGUACACACCGCCCGUCACGUCAUGAAAGUCGGCAACNC
rnacentral:rRNA from 1 species